UGUGAUUGAGAUUGAAACUGUUGCUGAGGUUGAGGCUGAGGCUGUGUUUGUGGUUGAGAUUGAGGUUGAAAUUGGUGCAGAGGUUGGGGCUGAGUAUAUGGUUGAGACUGAAAUUGAAAUUGCUGCUGAGGCUGAGAGUGUGGUUGUGAUUGAAAUUGAGGUUGCAAUUGUUGCCGGAUUUGAGGUUGUAAAUGUGGCUGAGAUGGAACUUGCAACUGGUGCUGGGUUUGAGGUUGGGCCCAUGGAACGACAUAAUUGUUGUAAGUUGCUUGCCCUUGGUUUCCAGGAUAAUUUUGGGAAAUAUAAGGAUACCCUUGUGUGCUUGAGGUUGAAACUUGAGGCAUGCUCUGGUCAGCAGAUGUUGAAGUAUGUAGUGUUUGGGGAUGAUGGGAUGCUGUUGUUGAUAAGGUGAUACUUAGAAGGUCAAUUAUUUCCUGUUCUUUUGUCGUACUAACUGGUGUAGGGGUUGAAACAGUGGUUGUAGAAGAAGCCGCAUUAUUGGUAUCCACUGGCACGAGUGCCAUGCUGGUUCCACAUUUGCUUUGAGAUGGACUUGACUGUGUUUUUGAAUGCCUCCGAGCAAGCUGUGCAAAGUCAUCCUCCUCUUCAUCUUCUUCGGCAAUAGGGCUCCUUGUUACAUUUGCAACUGACACAGUGGCAUUAGCGCUAGAACUUGGGCAGGAGCCUUUUACUUCAGUCGAUAUGAUAUUGGAGGAACCUUCGCUUGGCUUGGCACCUAAAUUAUUAACUUGAGUUGGCAUAAGAGAACCAGAAGCUAUAGCAUCAUG
rnacentral:misc_RNA from 1 species